AUUUCUGCAUCUAAUCAUGGAGGCAGCUCCUGAUCAAAGAGCAUUGUACUGGUGAGGCACUCAUUCUCCCACAUAUGGGCUGACCCCCUGGUGCUGAGUGAGUGAGGGGCUCUUAGAUCUUCGGCCACAGACUGAAGGCUGCACUGUCAGCUUCCCUACUUUUGAGGUUUUUGGACUCAGACUGGCUUCCUUGCUGCUCAGCUUGCAGACGGCCUAUUGUGGGACUUCACCUUGUGAUCAUGAAGUAGAAGUGAUUAUCCACAUUCCAUAGAAGAAGAAGC
rnacentral:lncRNA from 1 species